rnacentral:rRNA from 1 species
AUUGAACGCUGGCGGCAGGCUUAACACAUGCAAGUCGAGCGAGCGGCGGACGGGUGCGUAAUGUCUGGGAAACUGCCUGAUGGAGGGGGAUAACUACUGUAAACGGUAGCUAAUACCGCAUACCAUCAGAUGUGCCCAGAUUGGAUUAGCUAGUAGGUGGGGUAAUGGCUCACCUAGGCGAGGAUCCCUAGCUGGUCUGAGAGGAUGACCAGCCCCACUGGAAGUGAGACACGUUCCAGACUCCUACGGGAGGCAGCAGGGGGGAAUAUGGCACAAUGGGCGCAAGCCUGAUGCAGCCAUGCCGCGUGUGUGAAGAAGGCCUUCGGGUUGUAAAGCACUUUCAGCGAGGAGGCGUUACUCGCAGAAGAAGCACCGGCUAACUCCGUGCCAGCAGCCGCGGUAAUAC